rnacentral:misc_RNA from 1 species
AAGGGUGACCCAAUGCACAAAGCAAAAGGGAGGAAACAAGACUCAAAUAAGGAUGAUGCUCAAAACCAAGGAAAAUUACUCAAAUUUGACAUUUUUUCCACUAUAUAAUGUAACAGAAACAGGGAACCCCAAUAACAUAGAAGAGUUCUAGCAAAAACUAAUACAAGAAUCCUAGAUUCCUAGUAGACUCCAAAUAGUCCUCCAAGAAUUGAAAGCAGACUAAUAGGGGGCAGUUAAAUGGCUUUGCUUUUUGCACCCAUUAAAAGAGGCUCUUCAACAUUUCUAGGCAACACCUUUAAUGGCAUUAGCAUUUGAGGGCUGCAAUUCAACAUCUAAAAUCAGGCUUGUCAAAUUGAAAUCUCAAAGAUUUGUGAAAUGUGCUAAAAAGACUGGUAGGGAGAAACAUUAGAACAAUGGGGUAGAAUGAUAAAUAGGGGGACACUAAGGAGGGAAAUUUGGUCUAAUUGCUGCCACAAUAAUUGUGAGUCGUGGCAUUAGCCAUUUAGGUUGCGGAAAUAGCCCCACCAUUUAUAAAAAGUACGAACCCAUUCAGAUACAUUUAUGUAUGCAAACACACAGUAACGCAAAUCAAUUUGAAGUUCAAGGAACUAUAAGUUUUUCAAAUUUCAAUCAACUGAGCUUUCACUAAAUUACAUCUGAGGUUAGCCAUAAAAAGUAAACUUUGGACUCCUAAUUGUCCAGUUUCUGUUUAUAAGAGUCACACCAAGAAUAAAUCAAAAGCAAGCUUAACAGUAUGCUUCGUAUACAGGAAAUCACUAUAGGGGAAAUUUUUCUGAAAUGACACCUAAGUAUUGCAUGUUAAACUUCCUUUUUCAUGAUAUUUGUCAUCUUGACAGAAAAUAAACUGAAAAUUGCUAACAGCAAAUAAGAGAACAGCCACCAUAUCUCAUUAUAAGACUCAAUGUUUGAUCAUUCAAAGUAUUUAUGUAGACAAAGAAACAACAUAUCUAAACAGCAGAAGACAAAC